AUGGAGCGAACCCCUCCGGGUGCCCCCUGUGCGAGGGUCCCCGCGGCCCGGGACAGCCACGGGGGGAGGGCACGGCGCGGGGUCCCCCGGCCGCUUCCAGCCCAGGUGCGGUGUUUGCUGUUUCCACGCCCAGUUUCCACGCCUCGGACAAACUCGCCCGGGGUGUCCACUUGGCAGAAAAUGGCCGAACGCGAGUUUCUUCAUGCGUUUGCACACUUCGUGCGUUUCCCUCCCGCAAAGUCGGGGCUGAAGCCGGGAGAUAAAGGGCAGCGGCGCGCACCGCAGUUUCCAUCGGAGAAAUCCCCGCACUCCCCCGCAGCUGCUCGGCUCUCGGGACGCCGGGACCCGCCCGGAGCCGCCGCCACCUCCCCGCGGUGUCCCCGCCGUGUCCCUGCGCCGGCACCGGCACGGGGCACCCGCAGCCCCGAGGCAGCCACGCCGGGACCCGAAGCCGCUUGGAAGACGGUUGUUUGUCGCUUUAGUUUUUGUUUGUUGGGUUUUUUUGUUGUUUUUUUGUUUCUUUCUUUCUUUCCCCCAGCGAUAUUGCAGCUUUCUCUGUCUGAAGAUUUUCUUUUUUAUCUUUUUAUUUUAUUUUCUUUCCUCUUUUUUUCCUUUCCUUUUUUUUCUUUUGUUCUAUUUUAUUAUUAUUAUUAUUUUCUCUUUUUUUCGGUUAAUUUCUUUUGACCUUCUGCUAAAAGGAAGGUAUUCGUCCCUUUUCUUUUCGCGUGAAACAACUCUCCGUGUGCCGGGGCAAAUCGAAGUCUCGGGACACGCAGAGCGCUCAGCUUUCGCGGUCGGUAUUUUUAACGACGGCACUGAAAAUCGCCGCAUUUAAUCGUGCCAAAAUGGGGGGAUAACGCGGCCAUCGGCCACCUCAGCUCACACCAAACCUACGCCAAGUUUGGGAGGAGACGAAACACUCGGCGCCGGGGGCGGGAUGGGGACAAGAAAUGAGGGACGUGGGGACAACUGCGAGGAAAAGUGCGUCCAAAAACGGAGUGGAGGAAAGGUGCCAUGGAGGGGACGAGGAGGGCGAUGGGGCUGGAGAGGGGGAGAGCUGUGGCACGGGGGUUUGGUUCGCGCCGUCAGGGAGAGCUCGGGGCUGGAGAACGAAAAGGGGAAAGAGAGCGGGCGGCCGGGGCCGGUGUUGAGCGGGAGGCUCCGGGACAUCGGCUCGGGGACGAAACAAAGAGAGGGAAAGGGAAAAAAUGAGGGAAAAUGACAGAAAGAAAGGGAGAAAGAGGAGGGAAGGUAGGGAGAAAGAAAUAAAAAGAAAGGAGGAAAGAAAGAAAGAAAAAGA
rnacentral:lncRNA from 1 species